UUACGGCCACAUCACGUUGAAACAACGGUUCCCGUACGAUCACUGAAGUUAAGCAACAUCGGACUUGGAUGGGUGACCGUUUGGGAAUACCAGGUGCUGUAA